rnacentral:rRNA from 1 species
UACGGAGGAUUCAAGCGUUAUCCGGAUUUAUUGGGUUUAAAGGGUGCGUAGGCGGUCCGUUAAGUCAGCGGUAAAAUUGCGGGGCUCAACCCCGUCGAGCCGUUGAAACUGGCAGACUUGAGUUGGCGAGAAGUACGCGGAAUGCGCGGUGUAGCGGUGAAAUGCAUAGAUAUCACGAAGAACUCCGAUUGCGAAGGCAGCCUGCUGGACUGUAACUGACGCUGAUGCUCGAAAGUGUGGGUAUCAAACAGG